GAUGAACGCUGGCGGCGUGCUUAACACAUGCAAGUCGAACGGUGAAGGCGGAGCUUGCUCUGCUGGAUCAGUGGCGAACGGGUGAGUAACACGUGAGCAAUCUGCCCCUGACUCUGGGAUAAGCGCUGGAAACGGCGUCUAAUACUGGAUACGAGCUGCGAAGGCAUCUUCAGCAGCUGGAAAGAAUUUCGGUCAGGGAUGAGCUCGCGGCCUAUCAGCUUGUUGGUGAGGUAAUGGCUCACCAAGGCGUCGACGGGUAGCCGGCCUGAGAGGGUGACCGGCCACACUGGGACUGAGACACGGCCCAGACUCCUACGGGAGGCAGCAGUGGGGAAUAUUGCACAAUGGGCGAAAGCCUGAUGCAGCAACGCCGCGUGGGGGACGACGGCCUUCGGGUUGUAAACCUCUUUUAGCAGGGAAGAAGCGAAAGUGACGGUACCUGCAGAAAAAGCGCCGGCUAACUACGU
rnacentral:rRNA from 1 species